rnacentral:rRNA from 1 species
GGAUUAGAUACCCUGGUAGUCCACGCCGUAAACGAUGGAUACUAGGUGUUUGGGGUGUUAACCCCCUGAGUACCAAAGCUAACGCAUUAAGUAUCCCGCCUGGGGAGUACGGUCGCAAGGCUAAAACUCAAAGGAAUUGACGGGGGCCCGCACAAGCGGUGGAGUAUGUGGUUUAAUUCGAAGCAACGCGCAGAACCUUACCUACCCUUAACAUCCCGGGACAGCUUCAGAGAUGAAGUGUUCUCUUCGGAGACUCGGUGAUAGGUGCUGCAUGGCCGUCGUCAGCUCGUGCCG